UACACGACCGUACCGCAAACCGACACUGGUGCGCGAGAUGAGUAUUCUAAGGCGCUUGAGAGAACUCAGGAGAAGGAACUCGGCAAAUUGACACCGUAACUUCGGAAGAAGGUGUGCCUUUAGUAGGUGAAGUCCCUCGCGGAUGGAGCCCAAUGAGGUUGCAAAAAAUCGGUGGCUGCGACUGUUUAUUAAAAACACAGCACUCUGCAAACACGAAAGUGGACGUAUAGGGUGUGACGCCUGCCCGGUGCUGGAAGAUUAAAUGAUGGGGUGCAAGCUCUUGAUUGAAGUCCCAGUAAACGGCGGCCGUAACAAUAACGGUCCUAAGGUAGCGAAAUUCCUUGUCGGGUAAGUUCCGACCUGCACGAAUGGCGUAACGAUGGCCACACUGUCUCCUCCUGAGACUCAGCGAAGUUGAAAUGUUUGUGAUGAUGCAAUCUCCCCGCGGAAAGACGGAAAGACCCCAUGAACCUUUACUGUAGCUUUGUAUUGGACUUUGAACAGAUCUGUGUAGGAUAGGUGGGAGGCUUUGAAGCAGGGUCGCUAGAUCUUGUGGAGCCAACGUUGAAAUACCACCCUGGUGUGUUUGAGGUUCUAACCUAGGCCCGUAAUCCGGGUUGGGGACAGUGCAUGGUAGGCAGUUUGACUGGGGCGGUCUCCUCCCAAAGUGUAACGGAGGAGUUCGAAGGUACGCUAGUUACGGUCGGACAUCGUGACGAUAGUGCAAUGGCAUAAGCGUGCUUAACUGCGAGACUGACAAGUCGAGCAGAUGCGAAAGCAGGACAUAGUGAUCCGGUGGUUCUGUAUGGAAGGGCCAUCGCUCAACGGAUAAAAGGUACUCUGGGGAUAACAGGCUGAUACCGCCCAAGAGUUCAUAUCGACGGCGGUGUUUUGCACCUCGAUGUCGGCUCAUCUCAUCCUGGGGCUGUAGCCGGUCCCAAGGGUAUGGCUGUUCGCCAUUUAAAGAGGUACGUGAGCUGGGUUUAAAACGUCGUGAGACAGUUUGGUCCCUAUCUUCCGUGGGCGCUGCAGAUUUGAGGAAGCCUGCUCCUAGUACGAGAGGACCGGAGUGGACGCACCUCUGGUGUAUCGGUUGUCACGCCAGUAGCAUUGCCGAGUAGCUAUGUGCGGAAGAGAUAACCGCUGAAAGCAUCUAAGCGGGAAACUCGUUUCAAGAUGAGAUCUGCCGGGGCCUUGAGCCCCCUGAAGAGUCGUUCAAGACCAGGACGUUGAUAGGUCGGGUGUGGAAGCGCAGUAAUGCGUUAAGCUAACCGAUACUAAUUGCUCGUGCGGCUUGACCA
rnacentral:rRNA from 1 species